UAUGUGAUCGUCUCUCGCAUAUCAAUAAGCGGAGGAAAAGAAACUAACAAGGAUUCCCUUAGUAACGGCGAGUGAAGCGGGAAGAGCUCAAAUUUGAAAUCUUCAAGGUUUUACCUUGACGAAUUGUAGUUUAAAGAAGUGUUUUCUGUUGAAGUUUUGGUAAAAGUUCUUUGGAAUAGGACAUCAUAGAGGGUGAGAAUCCCGUAUUUGACCAUUAUUUUCAGCUGUGUGAUACACUUUCAAAGAGUCGGAUUGUUUGGGAAUGCAGUCCAAAAUGGGUGGUAAAUUUCAUCUAAAGCUAAAUAUUGGCGAGAGACCGAUAGCGAACAAGUACCGUGAGGGAAAGAUGAAAAGAACUUUGAAAAGAGAGUUAAACAGUACGUGAAAUUGUCAAAAGGGAAGCGUUUGACACCAGUGUUGUUUUCUCGAAAAUCAAUUAAAAAGAGUUUAGAUUUUGUUGUGUAUUGACCUUAACAGCUCUGCAUUUCAAUUUUCUUGCUUUUUUUAAUGCACUUUUCGUUUAACAAGUCAACAUCAGUCUCUUUUGUUGUAAAAAGGUCAUUGGAAGGUGGCUUUCUUUUCGGAGAAAGUGUUUAUAGCCUUUGACUCCUGCAAUCGGAGAGACUGAGGUCUGCAGCGUAGAUCCUUCGGGGUUAGAUACAUUUGUGCUAAGUUAUAGCUUUUUAUAGACAACUUGUUGACUAUGAUUAGUCUUGUAGCUUACUCGCUUAUGCUAUUUUACCUACGCUUAGGAUGUUGAAGAUGUAGCACAUCAU
rnacentral:rRNA from 1 species